UCCAGAGCCCAUUGAAGUCAGUGGGAGAUGUUCUAAUGACUCCAGAGGGCUUUGGAUC
rnacentral:pre_miRNA from 1 species